rnacentral:tRNA from 1 species
GGUGGCUCAGUGGUAGAGUGCUUGCUUUGCAUGCAUGAGGCCCUGGGUUCAAUUUUCAGCACCA